GCGAGAAACGACCGCUUCGAAUUUUUUAUUGGACAAACGUCAUAUCGAAAUUAAACAUAUCCUUUUUAUUGUCCUCUCUUUUUUAACGAGUACAUUUGUUUCAUUUACAAUUAGUGCAUCGAAGAAUUAAGAAGACUUAUUUGUUUUUCUUGUUUUCUGACUCCUUCAAAUGGUGUCAAUGAAUACGAUGGUUCGUUCUUUUUUGUAUUCUGUUUAUCCGUCAUACGUAAAAGGUAUCACAUAGAAUGAUGAUAUUUGACAUAAGCUAUUGCAGCAAGUCCCUUACAAAAUUCUUCUGUGACUACAACGCUUUCCAGCAACGUAUUUUCCUUCUCCCUGUAAUAUCGUCAAAAUAUUGUUUUCGUCACAUGUUAAUAAGCCAGAUUCAGUGGUCUUUGGUAUCUCGUUAAUUAGCUGCUUGACUACUUUCUGGAGACAAGUAAAUAAACUUUUUGUGCCAGGCACUAAUGGUAAAA
rnacentral:lncRNA from 1 species